UACGUAGGGUGCAAGCGUUGUCCGGAAUUAUUGGGCGUAAAGAGCUCGUAGGCGGUUUGUCACGUCUGCUGUGAAAACUCGGGGCGUAACCCCGGGCCUGCAGUGGGUACGGGCAGACUAGAGCGCGGUAGGGGAGACUGGAAUUCCUGGUGUAGCGGUGAAAUGCGCAGAUAUCAGGAGGAACACCGGUGGCGAAGGCGGAUCUCUGGGCCAUUACUGACGCUGAGGAGCGAAAGCGUGGGGAGCGAACAGG
rnacentral:rRNA from 1 species